rnacentral:lncRNA from 1 species
GGGAUUGCAGUGGCAAAGCUAGGCUAGGUCUUGGAGGCUGGUGUAAGGCGAAGCGGGUGAAGGCAGGAGGCUGAUGGAGAGACUGGGGGGAAGAAAAGCCGAAAUGGAUUCACGGUGCCUUGGAUGGAGGACGAGAGGGGAACUGCAGGCUCCUUCAACUCGUUCUGUCCGGUGAGAAGUGAUCAAGCUUGGGCUGACAAGAGGCUCAGGGAGUCCUCACGUUCUUUCGCUUUUUUACCUGCCAAUCAAACUGCUACAAGACAACACCCUGAUCUGGCAUGGACAUCGCGGGUCCAAGCCUGUAGUCCCAAAUCGGAUAUCUCUGCAGCUGAUAACAAGCAAAAGAGAAGCCAGGCAACAGCCAUAUUAAAGAAGAAAACAAUCAACUCUGAGGUAAUACACAAAUACAGCGUUAUUGUAAAAGAUUCAAGGAAUACUUCUAUCCUGACCUCUUCCAGCCCUGCCCAGUCAGACAUAAUCAUGCACCCUGUCUUUCCCCUUAGAGCUUGGAGCAAAUUCCUGAAUGAAGAGUCACUGGUCCCCGGGAUCAAGCGGGGAGAGGCUGAGACCUGGUCACACUUGAAUGCCUGGCUAAUGAGCUUUGUAAGAAUUUUUUGAUUAAUAAGUGAAUGGAGUUUUCUGAGCCUUUAUCUCUUCAUCUGUAAAAUGAGGAUCAUCAAGCUUAUUGCAUAAAGUCCUGCCUCCCAUAAACCAAAAAAUUGUGAAUACUCUAGGCCCACACUAGAGACAGAGGCCUGUGCCACAGUAUCUUGCUUUUCUAGGAGUUUGGUGAUUAGAGGGGAAUGAUAAUUCCUGGCUGGUUGUUAUUUCAAAAGAUGAUUUUUUUUUUUGAUUAUUGGAGUAGUACACAUUCAUUUUAUAGAGAAUUUGGAAAAACUCAGGGAAGUUAAGAAUAGAAGAUAGAAAGUAAAAAUAUGUCACUGUAGGGCACCUUUUGGGAUGAGCACUGGGUGUUGUAUGGAAGCCAAUUUGACAAUAAAUUUCAUAUAUUGAAAAAAAUAAAAAUAAAA